rnacentral:rRNA from 1 species
AUUGAACGCUGGCGGCAGGCCUAACACAUGCAAGUCGAACGAGUGGCGGACGGGUGAGUAAUGUCUGGGAAACUGCCUGAUGGAGGGGGAUAACUACUGGAAACGGUAGCUAAUACCGCAUACCAUCGGAUUUGCCCAGAUGGGAUUAGCUAGGUGGUGGGGUAAAGGCUCACCUAGGCGACGAUCCCUAGCUGGUCUGAGAGGAUGACCAGCCACACUGGAACUGAGACACGGUCCAUACUCCUACGGGAGGCAGCAGUAGGGAAUAUUGCACAAUGGGCGCAAGCCUGAUGCAGCCAUGCCGCGUGUAUGAAGAAGGCCUUCGGGUUGUAAAGUACUUUCAGCGGGGAGGCGUUACCCGCCGAAGAAGCACCGGCUAACUCCGUGCCAGCAGCCGCGGUAAUUC